rnacentral:lncRNA from 1 species
UUUAUGCCUCGGCCGAUCAAAGGGAGAGUAGAAGCAGAAGAUGGUGGUGUCCAUUCUAAAAGCACUUAUUCUCCCAUUGUUCAUUAAUAUACCUUAUGACGUACUUAGGUUGAAUCUGAGUUGUUUCCUGAAUAUGGCAGAGUGCAAGAGCUUGCACAAAAUCAGCAGCUUCCCAACAUGUUAUAUACAGAACAACAAAACUUUUUACGUGGAAUGGAUUUUGUUGAGCAUCUUACAUUGCUGGGUCAGGAAUGUUGCUUUUACCUUUACUAAGUAGGUCAGAUGUUAAUGAAUGUAUUCACUUUUCAGUUUACCAAAUUAUUACAGGGUAAUAUGUGAAGUUUUUAUUUGUGUAGUUACAGGGUAAUUUGUGAAUCUCAAUUUAUGAAUUAAUCAUCCUUUUAUUUCUCUAAAAAUCCCAUACUUCAAUGGAAUCGGAAUUCUUUGUUUUUUUUGGUAGUAGUAAGGGUAUCCUCAUAUUUUGAAUAAAGAACUCUAACCCUGAACUUGUUGGAAUGUGAAUCUGAAUUCAUUUACCUUUUUUUUUGGUUCAUUUUUACCUUAUUGUACUUCCAUUUUAAGAUAAAAUUAGCAAGUUGGAAGCAUUAAAAUUUCUUAUUCUAAAUUAUUUAUAUAUUAUAUUGUCAUCUAAUAUAUCACUACUUAUAUCAUAAUAUGCUUACUGUUUAUAUAUUAUUCGUACUCAAUCGGUUCAUUUUAAUUUUAAAAUACAAAUUAAAAUUAUGGGUAGAUACGAAAUGUUUUAAAAAUUAAAAUAAAAUGUCUUUAAGUUUUUUUAUUCAACACUUACUUUUAUUACACAAACAAAUAUUGAAAAAUUAUAAUAAAAUAUAACAAUUUGUGCAUGUGGCCUACUAAAAACUAGCUAUCAUCUUAAAUUAUGUAGUGAAUGAUUAAUUUCAACCUUAAAUAUUUUUGUACUAUACCGUUUUUGGACAUUGUAAAUUGUUUAGAACAUUUGUUUAGAACAUUUUAUUCUGAAAAUAAAAACAUGACCAACGAAUUAAUAUUAAGAUGGGUGAGUGGCCCAGACCCAGAUGCAAUAGAAACCCUAUUCUGUUUGACACGAUCGGACUUUCUUUCCCAAAGAUCUAACUUCAUUUCCACACCCUGUUCUGUUCUUCGUCUCUCUCUCUCUCUCUCUCUGUUCUUCGUCUCUCUCUCUCUCUCUCUCUACCUUAUGACGUACUUAGGUUGAAUCUGAGUUGUUUCCUGAAUAUGGCAGAGUGCAAGAGCUUGCACAAAAUCAGCAGCUUCCCAACAUGUUAUAUACAGAACAACAAAACUUUUUACGUGGAAUGGAUUUUGUUGAGCAUCUUACAUUGCUGGGUCAGGAAUGUUGCUUUUACCUUUACUAAGUAGGUCAGAUGUUAAUGAAUGUAUUCACUUUUCAGUUUACCAAAUUAUUACAGGGUAAUAUGUGAAGUUUUUAUUUGUGUAGUUACAGGGUAAUUUGUGAAUCUCAAUUUAUGAAUUAAUCAUCCUUUUAUUUCUCUAAAAAUCCCAUACUUCAAUGGAAUCGGAAUUCUUUGUUUUUUUUGGUAGUAGUAAGGGUAUCCUCAUAUUUUGAAUAAAGAACUCUAACCCUGAACUUGUUGGAAUGUGAA